UACGUAGGGUGCGAGCGUUGUCCGGAAUUAUUGGGCGUAAAGAGCUUGUAGGCGGUUUGUCGCGUCUGCUGUGAAAAUCCGGGGCUCAACCCCGGACUUGCAGUGGGUACGGGCAGACUGGAGUGUGGUGGGGGAGACUGGAAUUCCUGGUGUAGCGGUGGAAUGCGCAGAUAUCAGGAGGAACACCGAUGGCGAAGGCAGGUCUCUGGGCCACUACUGACGCUGAGAAGCGAAAGCAUGGGGAGCGAACAGG
rnacentral:rRNA from 1 species